UCUCUCUCUCUCUCUCACACACCCUUUUGUUUCUCUCAAACCUCUCUUUGCCUCGCUCGCUCUCCGAUCUCCAGAGAACCUCUCUUUGCCUCACUCUCCGAUCUCCAGUUCUCUCUGUGUCUCCUUUCUUCCAGAAAACACUCAAGUUAGUCAAAUUUGUUCAGAUCUUUUUGUCGGGGGCUACAGAUGCCAGCGCUCUCUUGCUGAAAAAUAGUGGUCUCGAUUUAAAGAAAAUUUGAAGCCCAUAAAAGAUCGUGUUUCCUGCUGCCGAUUUGGUGUGGGAGAUCGGGUUUUUCGAAUUUAUGACUUUUCUUUGAAGCCUGCGAAGACCUCUGUGUUUAAGGCUUCAGAUCCCUUUCCACCGUUACUACCACCAAUUCACCCAUACCUCAGCUUUCUUUCCACGAUUCCUCAAAACGUUCAUAUCGGAAUUCUGGCCCAUCGUUGAGAUUUUCUGUAUGGGUUUUGGUUCUUUUGGAUUUGGAAGGAGAUGGAGAUCGGAGUUCGUUGCUAUCAUCUAUUCAACUUAAAUUUUUGGGGAUUUGGUUUGAAUUUUUGGCAAUUAAUGCACUAGAAGGAUUCCUCUUUCAAUGGUGAUUUGUCUUUUUGACAUAUUCAUUGCAAGGACAAAUGAGAAGUAAUCGGAGGCUGUUGUACCUUACAUUAAGAGUGAACAGUUCAUCUUUUGCGAAGGACAAAACAGGAGACAAGGUUUUUUUACUCCAUAUGGGACGGAGAGAUAGUGAGCCAAAACAAAUCACAAAGGCAAACACACAACAGUUUGAUGAGGUGCUGUAAAAUUGCUGAAAAAGGCUGCUUCCUCAACAAUCAACAGUACUGGAGAAAACCUUUUAGCGUUGCAGUAAACUACUUUUCUCAUAUUUUGUUAUUCUAGAUAAUACAAUACAACUUCUGCAACUUUUGGUGUGUCUGCUGCAUGUAUAAAAUCUUUCAUAUGUAAAAAUCAUCAUUUCCUUUUCAAUGUAAAUAAUAUUAAUCUUUUAUCUUAUA